rnacentral:rRNA from 1 species
GACAGAGGAGGCUAGCGUUGUUCGGAAUCACUGGGCUUAAAGCGGGUGUAGGCGGCUCGGUAAGUACUUUGUGAAAUCUUUCGGCUCAACCGGGGAAAUGCUGGGUAUACUGCCGGGCUUGAGGCAAGUAGGGGCCACUGGAGCUCUAGGUGGAGCGGUGAAAUGCGUAGAUAUCUAGAGGAACGCCUGAGGCGAAAGCGGGUGGCUGGGCUUGUCCUGACGCUGAGACGCGAAAGCGUGGGGAGCAAACGGG